rnacentral:rRNA from 1 species
CCUACGGGUGGCAGCAGUGGGGGAUAUUGCACAAUGGGGGGAACCCUGAUGCAGCGACGCCGCGUGGGUGAAGAAGCGCCUCGGCGCGUAAAGCCCUGUCAGCAGGGAAGAAAAUGACGGUAUCUGAAGAAGAAGCCCCGGCUAACUACGUGCCAGCAGCCGCGGUAAUACGGAGGGGGCAAGCGUUAUCCGGAUUGACUGGGUGUAAAGGGGGCGCAGACGGCGAUGCAAGCCAGGAGUGAAAGCCCGGGGCCCAACCCCGGGACUGCUCUUGGAACUGCGUGGCUGGAGUGCAGGAGGGGUAGGUGGAAUUCCUGGUGUAGCGGUGAAAUGCGUAGAGAUCAAGAGGAAUA